GCCCGGAUAGCUCAGUCGGUAGAGCAGAGGAUUGAAAAUCCUCGUGUCGGUGGUUCGAUUCCGCCUCUGGGCACCA
rnacentral:tRNA from 3 species